rnacentral:tRNA from 3 species
UGUCUCAUGGCCAAGCGGUAAGGCGCUUGACUGUUAAUCAAGAGAUCGGGAGUUCGAUCCUCCCUGAGACAG